rnacentral:lncRNA from 1 species
UUAAUACAUGUUUUGGUUUGGUAUCCUCAGAACAGCCUAGUAGAACAAAUAAAAAACCCCACACUGUCCGAUUACAGAACUCAUGUUGCAUUGUUGCAUUUUAUUUUUUUUUUUUUUGGUUAACUUUCAAUUUCUGUUUUAACUCUUCUGAACCAAUAAACCUAAUAUUUAAGUUGGAUUUUACAGUCUCUAAUUCUCAGGCUAAUCUUAUUGCCUUAAAAAAAAAAAAAAAAAGAAUGAAGAAAAAGUGGCCCAUCCAUUCCUCCAGUAGAACUAGAGACAGGAAGCAAAAAUCUUUUAUUUUCUGAAUAAUUUUAAUACUUGCAGCCUAGUUCGAUAUUUCUUCUGUGACAAUAUUUCCUACCUAUUAAAGUGAGGGCAGGAAAAUAAGCAAAUGAAAAGAUCUUGAGAGAAAGCAUUUACCUAUCACUAAAUCUAUGCUCAAGCAUAGUAUAACAUAUGUUUGUUUAACUGAAUUGAUAUUGCCAACUUUCUAGUGGUCUAUAUGGUCUUAAAAGGGUAUGAAAACAUGCACAGGUAAACAGACCUAGAAAAGGGCAUAGGGGAAUAUCAGUAUCAGUGGAAAGGAUGCAUCUGACUCUUGCUCAGGUCAAUAUCAAAGUUCCUAUUGAUUUCCAAGUGAAUAAUGUAUUACUGUUUCCUUGGCAGGAUGACUCUUCUCUUAAUGGAAGUGUAAGGUCAGAGUCAGCAACCAGAGCCUCAGCAGCUGUUGCAACUCCCAAGGGACUUGUUCCUGCAGUCUUCGUAUUUACUGACUACUUCUGUCAGAGCUGAGGCUGGACCAGAAACACCGGUAUUCCUGCUGGAACUUAAGACAAUAGCGUUAAUAUGCAUAGCAGAUUGGUUAAAUGGUUGCUUUGAUUCCUUGCUAAAAAGGCAAUAGCAACUCCUGGGAAAAAAAGAUAUGCAUCAUGUUGAGAAAGUUUCUUUUCUGUUUUGUUAUUGUCUAUUCUGCCUGCUGUUUGGAAUGUGUAAAAUGAUUCUGACAAGCUUGAUAUGUGCCAAAACCCAGCAUGCCCACUGGUGGGAAGAUUAUCAUCACCCAGAUAUAAUAAAAAGCUUCUAGAAAAGUGCCUCUAAUGAUGG